UAAUGAUGGUGAAGGCAAUUUUUGAGAAUACUUUUAAAUCUCUCCCAACCUUGGUGGAGAUUCUCUUUUUCUUUCUGUCUGAAACUCAUAAUCUUACUUCUCAAACA
rfam:Capsicum annuum cultivar Zunla-1 chromosome 6, whole genome shotgun sequence